rnacentral:rRNA from 1 species
UACGGAGGGUGCUAGCGUUGUUCGGAAUCACUGGGCGUAAAGGGCGUGUAGGCGGUCAAGUAAGUGGGAUGUGAAAUCCCUCGGCUCACCCGAGGACCUGCAUCCCAAACUGCUUGGCUUGAGUAUGGGAGAGGAUGAGGGAAUUCCUGGUGUAGCGGUGAAAUGCGUAGAUAUCAGGAGGAACACCGGUGGCGAAGGCGCUCAUCUGGCCCAAUACUGACGCUGAGGCGCGAAAGCUAGGGGAGCAAACGGG